rnacentral:lncRNA from 1 species
UAUUUAAACUAAAACAUGCAAAGUAUUCCUCUCGUUAUACAGGUGGGCGCCUCUUUAAACUAAGACAUGAAAAUUAUUCCUCUCGUUAUGCAGGUGGGCGCCUAUUUAAACUAAGACAUGAAAAUUAUUCCUCUCGUUAUACAGGUGGGCGCCUAUUUAAACUAAGACAUGAAAAUUAUUCCUCUCGUUAUACAGGUGGGCGCCUAUUUAAACUAAGACAUGAAAAUUAUUUCUCUCGUUAUACAGGUGGGCGCCUAUUUAAACUAAGACAUGAAAUUUAUUCCUCUCGUUAUACAGGUGGGCGCCUAUUUAAACUAAGAUAUGAAAAUUAUUCCUCUUGUUAUACAGGUGGGCGCCUAUUUAAACUAAGACUGAAAAUUAUUCCUCUCGUUAUACAGAUGGGCGCCUAUUUAAACUAAGACAAGAAAAUUAUUCCUCUCGUUAUACAGGUGGGCGCCUAUUUAAACUAAGACAUGAAAAUUAUUCCUCUCGUUAUACAGGUGGGCGCCUAUUUAAACUAAGACAUGAAAAUU